AGUCUGGUGCCAGCAGCCGCGGUAAUUCCAGCUCCAAUAGCGUAUAUUAAACUUGUUGCAGUUAAAAAGCUCGUAGUUGAAUUUCAGCGUUGUUCUCGUGUUCCCUUUUUGCGGGUUUCGUCUACUUCGCUUUGUUUUUAUUACUUUGAGAAAAUUAGAGUGUUUCAAGCAGGCUUUUGUCUUGAAUACUUGAGCAUGGAAUAAUAGAGUAGGACCUUGGUUCUUCUUUGUUGGUUUUUGUUACCUUGGUAAUGGUUAAUAGGAACGGUUGGGGGCAUUCGUAUUUAACUGUCAGAGGUGAAAUUCUUAGAUUUGUUAAAGACGAACUACUGCGAAAGCAUUUGCCAAGGACGUUUCCAUUAAUCAAGAACGAAAGUUAGGGGAUCGAAGACGAUCAGAUACCGUCGUAGUCCUAACCAUAAACUAUGCCGACUAGGGAUUGGAGGUCGUCAUUUUUCUUCGACUCCUUCAGCACCUUGAGAGAAAUCAAAGUCUUUGGG
rnacentral:rRNA from 1 species